UACGUAGGGUCCGAGCGUUGUCCGGAAUUACUGGGCGUAAAGCGCGCGCAGGCGGUCCGUGAGGUGUCACGUGAAAGCCCCGGGCUCAACUCGGGAGGGUCGUGGCAAACCGGCGGACUUGAGGCCGGUAGAGGUGGGUGGAACUCCUGGUGGAGUGGUGAAAUGCGUAGAGUUCAGGAAGAACACCCGUGGCGAAGGCGGCCCACUGGGCCGGAACUGACGCUGAGGCGCGAAGGCGUGGGGAGCGAACGGG
rnacentral:rRNA from 1 species